rnacentral:rRNA from 1 species
AACGAACGCUGGCGGCAGGCUUAACACAUGCAAGUCGAACGCACCCUUCGGGGUGAGUGGCAGACGGGUGAGUAACGCGUGGGAACGUGCCCUUCAGUUCGGGAUAACCCAGGGACACUUGGGCUAAUACCGGAUACGUGCGAGUGCAGAAGGAUUUAUCGCUGAAGGAUCGGCCCGCGUCUGAUUUGCUUGUUGGUGGGGUAAUGGCCCACCAAGGCGACGAUCAGUAGCUGGUCUGAGAGGUUGAUCAGCCACGUUGGGACUGAGACACGGCCCAAACUCCUACGGGAGGCGGCAGUGGUGAAUAUUGGACAAUGGGCGCAAGCCUGGACCAGCCAUGCCGCGUGAGUGAUGAAGGCCUUAGAGUUGUAAAGCUCUUUCGACCGGGACGAUAAUGACGGUACCGGAAGAAGAAGCCCCGGCUAACUUCGUGCCAGCCGCCGCCGUAA